rnacentral:rRNA from 1 species
GACGAACGCUGGCGGCGUGCUUAACACAUGCAAGUCGAACGGAAAGGCCCUGCUUUUGUGGGGUGCUCGAGUGGCGAACGGGUGAGUAACACGUGAGUAACCUGCCCUUGACUUUGGGAUAACUUCAGGAAACUGGGGCUAAUACCGGAUAGGAGCUCCUGCUGCAUGGUGGGGGUUGGAAAGUUUCGGCGGUUGGGGAUGGACUCGCGGCUUAUCAGCUUGUUGGUGGGGUAGUGGCUUACCAAGGCUUUGACGGGUAGCCGGCCUGAGAGGGUGACCGGCCACAUUGGGACUGAGAUACGGCCCAGACUCCUACGGGGGGCAGCAGUGGGGAAUAUUGCACAAUGGGCGGAAGCGUGAUGCAGCAACGCCGCGUGCGGGAUAACGGCCUGCGGUUUGUAAACCGCUUUCGCCUGUGACGAAGCGUGAGUGACGGUAAUGGGUAAAGAAGCACCGGCUAACUACGUG